GUGGGGAAUAUUGGACAAUGGGCGAAAGCCUGAUCCAGCCAUGCCGCGUGUGUGAAGAAGGUCUUCGGAUUGUAAAGCACUUUAAGUUGGGAGGAAGGGCAGUAAGUUAAUACCUUGCUGUUUUGACGUUACCAACAGAAUAAGCACCGGCUAACUUAGUGCCAGCAGCCGCGGUAAUACGAAGGGUGCAAGCGUUAAUCGGAAUUAAUGGGCGUAAAGCGCGCGUAGGUGGUUUUGUAAGUUGGAGGUGAAAUCCCCGGGCUCAACCUUGGAACUGCCUCCAAAACUGCAUGACUAGAGUACGGUAGAGGGUAGUGGAAUUUCCUGUGUAGCGGUGAAAUGCGUAGAUAUAGGAAGGAACACCAGUGGCGAAGGCGACUACCUGGACUGAUACUGACACUGAGGUGCGAAAGCAUGGGGAGCAAACAGGAUUAGAUACCCCAGUAGUCC
rnacentral:rRNA from 1 species